GCAGAGAGGGCUAAAAGGCGUUCAAGUAUUUCUAGAAAAGCUGUCAAUAAGGAGCAUGGACAAUCUGUGUUUGACCAACCUAAUAUGGCAAGUGUCAUGACAAACACAGCAGCUGCAUUUGUGGGAGGAAAGAGAAAAUGGACAGAAACAAUAGACUUAAAAAGAGAAUCCGAUGAGGACACCACAACCACACAGGUAUGUAAAGUGUACAUACUUGGAAUGUACAAAAAGUGAUAUUACUUUCUUUCCAGAAAAUUUGGAUUUAUACCUUUAAAAACCAGGUGUAUCUUAAAACAACAGAAUUUUUAUGUAAGGUUUCAGCCCCGCGUUCAAUAGGCAAAACGUUACGGAACAUUCGGAACGUUUUGUCUGUUGGACGACCCGUUUCCUCGUAACGCUACGAUAAACCGCGAACAGUCUGACGAGGUUGCACGCGAAGUGACCAAGAUGGCGGACGAUGCAUCAGUGUCAUCAGUCGGUACAUUUUACAGGUGCUCCGUGUGUGGCAUCUUCUUUGCAACGAUGGAAGCUUUUGUUGAGCAUGAGUGUGGUGAGUCCUGAAAACUUUGGAAGUACUUAUACAAUGGCGGUAACUUGAUAUUACCUAUGAACCCAACGAAAUCGCGGUUGACACAUGCCGCCAUUAUGGCCAAGUAAACAAAUGUCUUGUUAUAUAGGAUUCAGCACUCUACUUUGCAGCACCAAUUAGAUGUAAUCAUGCUAUGUCUGCAUUCUACACGGUCAGUGUUCCCAAAUAUGUUCAUGUUGCAAUAUGUUUCAGCUUCAACUACUGAGAAAACUGCAACACCGACUGAAAUCAGUGCGAUUGACGAACUCGGGACUGACACUGACAACGUGGAGAAUGAAGUGCACAGUAAGUGAUUCAGAAGGAAAAUGCAAUGGACAUAAUAGACUACAUACAUUGCAGUCAGAGUAAAUAUUGUUUGCAAAUAGAUUACGUUUAUAUCAGUUUAAGACGGUUAAAAAGAACAACAAACAAGUUAUUUGUAAAUACUGCUCGACAGAAGGAGAUCAAGUAAAAUAUAGAUCUAGUUCCCUAUACAUGUCGCACAGUAUUAAUCUAGUAUACUACUUCUUUACAGCUCCUACCCACUGCACAUUGGGGUACUCUGCGAUCCUCCUCCUAAUUGAAACCUACAGAGAUCUUCAAUAUAUUUUCAAAUCUUCUGCCUAAAAAACGAUUGAUGCUUGGA